CUAUUAGGAAAUGUAGUAAUCAUUUACCAUCAAAGUUGCAAGCUAAGUGCUAUAACUACAUAAAUAUAUAUGAAAAAUAAAGCAAUUUUUGUAAUUCAACUGAUCUGAAACAUUUUCUAACACAUUUCAUGCAAUAGAUAUUUUCGGUGCAAAUUUUAAUUCACAAUUUUUCAUGUUAGUGUAGCUAUGUUUAUUGUUUUUUUUUU